rnacentral:rRNA from 1 species
GACGAACGCUGGCGGCGUGCUUAACACAUGCAAGUCGAACGGAAAGGCCCUGCUUUUGUGGGGUGCUCGAGUGGCGAACGGGUGAGUAACACGUGAGUAACCUGCCCUUGACUUUGGGAUAACUUCAGGAAACUGGGGCUAAUACCGGAUAGGAGCUCCUGCUGCAUGGUGGGGGUUGGAAAGUUUCGGCGGUUGGGGAUGGACUCGCGGCUUAUCAGCUUGUUGGUGGGGUAGUGGCUUACCAAGGCUUUGACGGGUAGCCGGCCUGAGAGGGUGACCGGCGACAUUAGUACUGAGAGACGCCCCAGACUCCUACGGGAGGCAGCAGGGGGGAAUAUUGCACAAUGGGCGGAAGCCUGAUGCAGCAGCGCCGCGUGCGGGAUGACGGCCUUCGGGUUGUAAACCGCUUUCGCCUGUGACGAAGCGUGAGUGACGGUAAUGGGUAAAGAAGCACCGGCUAACUACGUG